UAUGGAUAAUGUGUGCUGUUACGAAUCACUCAUGUCUCGACUCGUCCGAACUUUGAGGUCUCAAGAGGGAGCUCAGGAUGUUGACAAAAAUGUACUGACAACAGGAAUCACAGUACUAAUUAUCAUAUUCUGCAUUUUCGCACUGUUCCGAACAAUCUCUCGGACAUCCGGCAAAUCCUCAUCUGUAUCGUAACUGAUGUUAUUUUAGCGGAGGGACGGUCCCUCGGAGGACGGACUGGCUCUGUAGAUAACAAAUAACCGGACACUAACCCAAU